UCAAACUUGGUCAUUUAGAGGAAGUAAAAGUCGUAACAAGGUUUCCGUAGGUGAACCUGCGGAAGGAUCAUUAACAAAUCUACUGAGUGUGGCGGUCGGCAUUCGUGCUGGCUGCUUGCACACAUUAGCCCUAAGGCGUACAGUUUUCUGUUUCGCCUUAGUUAGGUGUGAGUGAAACACACACCAGGUGUCGGAGACGGCCCUUGGUUGUUUUUGCUCGCGGCCCUUUGGGCCACACAUUGACGCUUGUUUGUUUGACAGAGUUUAUAUGUGACAAUAAAAUGACAACUUUUAACAAUGGAUCUCUUGGCUCUUGCAUCGAUGAAGAACGCAGC
rnacentral:misc_RNA from 1 species